GGUGGGGGCUGCUGGUUCUUCCAGGAGCGCGCAUGAGCGGACGCUGCCUACUGGUGGCCGGGCGGGAUGUAACCGGCUGCUGAGCUGGCAGUUCUGUGUCGCUAGGCUUCUGCCCGGCCGCCGCCGCACAUAAGCCACGAGGAGGAGCUUUACGACUUCCCGGUCUUCGGCGCCGGGCGCAGCAAGGGCCAGACUCUGCGCUAGCAGGCGCUGCGCGCCAACCGGCCGGCACCUGUCGCAGAAGGUGCAACCGAUCGCACUGUCGCGCAGAAGCUCCUCAAUGGCCAGCGCCAGCUGCAGCCCCGGCCGCCCACUCGCCUCAUCUGAGCCUGGCAGAAGGUAAGCAUGAGCAAAUUACUUUUUAGAGGUAACUUUGCUGAACUUGUGAAGAAUGGUGUGCAAGGUCCAGAGCGACUGCAGGAGAGGGAAGGUGGGAUUCCCACAGAGCAGGAGCACAGAUAAGCCAAGCAAGGCCCUGCUUGGAAGGCAGCAAUCAACAGAGAUGCACAGACCUGUGAGGGUGCCGGGACAGCCAUGCAACAAUGCAGCCCUUUUGCUUCCUGAGCUCACCAGUUCCCUCGCUCCACCUCUGAGAGGUGGUUUGGAGAAACACAGCCCUUCUCAAGAGGGCUGCAAGAGCAGACCACAAAGAGCAUGUCUGGACCUAGAACCACAGCAUGUAACCUCGGAAGCAGUGAGACACCAGCCAGCAUGGACAAGCAGCAGGCACUUGCUCUAUACCAGAUAUGCUGCAUGAUAGAACGCUAUGCCCUCUCACAGAUAGGUCCCACCUCCAGCCUUCCCCUGCUGCCAUCUAACAUCCUAAACUCCAGCUCUGAAUGUCUGUCUCCUGCUCUGAAUCUUCAGUGACUUCGAAACUCAAGUCAGGACACCUCUCAGUUUGGCCUCACUGCUCAAGAUUGAGCUGAAUUCAUGACCAUAAUUCAAGCAUUCAGAUUCAUGGGCUGUUUUGUGGGUUUUGCUAUCUCUUAUUUUGUUUUUGCACAUCUUACCCACUGAAACGUUGGGCUGCAAAAAGUUUGAUCACUAAAUAUGUAGGCAAUGCUGGAUACUGGGCUGUUAUUUACAUAUUUGUAUCACCUUUUAUUUCAUAAGAUAGCAUUGUCAGAGUAAUUUAGUAUUUCAACAUAAUCAACAAGUAAAAUAAAAUUAAUGAGAAUGAUC
rnacentral:lncRNA from 1 species